GGAGGCAGCAUGGAGCUGGUCGGAAGAGGCAGCCAGGGACGGAAGAGACAAAGGCAGGGACCCUCUGCUCCGGGGUCCGGGGAGGUUUGACAGCAGAGCAAAUCUGUCUUGGCUGCUGACUGAAGGAUGUGCUCAGCACCUUGUAGGAUUGAGCCCCCAGAUCCUGCAAAGAUUGACGUGUGGUCCUUAGCUUUAAUCAGUAUGGGCUAGUUCAGAACUCAAAGACAUGGAUUUCCUACUGAGUGCUGAGAUCUGCUGCCAGGAAUGGCUGCUUUCCAAGAAAAUGUGCUACCUUUUCAAGAUAAGUGUUCUCAGGUGUAAGAAUGUCUUCACUGCUGAAUUUGUUUGCUUGCAACAUUUUUAACAAUAUGUAAUCUUCCAAAUAUUUAAUUUAAGCAAGCUGUGCAACAUAAAAAUAAUGGGGAAAGAAAAACCUUGAUGGCUCAGAACUCUAAUCCUUUCUAGCGCUAGUGGUGUGCUCUGCUGAGGACUGUGAUUCCAAUCAGUGCACUGCUCUCAAAGCUGGGAAACAGACUGGCAGGACUAGCACUGCAAGGCAAGUUUCAAGUUCGGUCGCUCAACAAAAAGCCCUUCUUUUUUUUAAUUACAGAUAUUGCUUUUCCCUAGGGAAGGAAUUCUGGGACAAUACUGGUGCAUACUGGGAAAUUUUAGAUCACAGUAUUUAUCUACAUAGCCCAUUACGGACUAGUGAAAAGGCUGUUUUGGAGCAUAAUGGAUAGUGACUUUUUUUUUUUUUUUUUGCUGUUGCGUUUACUCAGCCAUCUGGUCUAAGCAUCCCUGAUGGUGCUGUAAAGUCAGGAAAAAUGUU